UUGGUAGAUAGCACUAUGGCGAAAGCGUCGUUUUUGGGUGUGGUCAGUUUCGGACGUUUCGUCCCGGAUUGGGGUUCGGGCAGCGUUACCAUGUUGACCGUCAUGGUCAACUUGCCCAAAAACAGUUGAGAUUAUCUGUCCUAAAUGAAAUGCAUACAAACUCAUAUACAGGUCCUAGACUAAUACUGCAAUUGACUACAUUCGACUUUUCUAUAAUAAUUCACAAAAUGAAGUUUGCUCAAUAUGAACUUGAGGUGAAAAACCCACCUGCAUAAAACAGGACGGAGAAUAUAAAAUCACACGUCUCUAACUCUAGAGUUCUGACUAUAAAUGUCAUUAAAUUCAAGCUUAUAUAACUCCUGGGAAAACCUCCGAACAAUUAAAUGGAAAGUCGAUUAUUCUUCAUAAAUCUAGAUAGAUAAGUUGGAAGAUACCUCAUACAGUGUUUUUGUUAAAGGUUUAAUGUAUUUGUUUUUCGAUUGAACACAUUUCCAUCCACCAUGGGCCUGCAAAGAUAAAUCUGAUAAGUGCGAACAACCGGGAUCUGAAGCACCUCCGCUUCUUAGACUAUGAGUUCCCAAUUUCCUGAGAUCGUCAAAAAAUAUACCCAAGUUUUUCUUGAUUAUGUCUUUCGCCGUAGUAUAAGAUAUUCCACGGGACUCAUGAAAGCUCCGACCACUUUGGCGUACUUAAUUCUACGUACAACUGGAUUACAAGAAUCAGAAUUGUCAGGUAACAUUUGGAACAGUCUCUCGGUAAUAGCAUAGACAAUCCAGAAGACAGGGACUGCAUGGAAACGCCUAAUGUUUUGCGCGUGCCAUCCGUGAUGCGCUUGCGUGAGCAGCGUGACGCUUGCACAUCUGCCAUUCCAAGUUCCAAAAUCCAAAACGAAUAAACGAUUAAUAUUGAUGUAUUAUCCGCUGUUUUUAUACAGCUCUUUAUACUGGAAGAUUGUUUAAAUAAUUUACACCGAAAAGGGAGUUAGGUAUAUCACAUUGUGUAUAAAGUUUAUAAAGCAAAUCUGCUUAAUAUCCAGAGACGAGUGCAAAGAAUUUUCGAGCUUCUUCGAAAAUUUUGAUUUCCAUUUUGGAGUGGACUUUCAGGCACGAUUCAGGUUUGUUUGCUUAUUUUAGUUUUCUACAAUUAAUUAAACUUACGUAUAUUUAUUUAGUUAUGCUUGACUGCAUUUACGUUAUAAAUUGUUCAAGUUACCUUUUCGAUAGUUUUUUAGUCUUUUUUGUUCAAAAGUACAGUCAGACAAGAAUGCCAAUAGCGACUUUUUACAGUCAAAAACAUUACGCAAGCAUUCAAAGGACGUUUUUGGUUUUGUUUGACUCAAUAUAAGUUUAAAAACCAGAUAAGUGCAUCCACA